GACGAACGCUGGCGGCGUGCUUAACACAUGCAAGUCGAACGGAAAGGCCCUGCUUUUGUGGGGUGCUCGAGUGGCGAACGGGUGAGUAACACGUGAGUAACCUGCCCUUGACUUUGGGAUAACUUCAGGAAACUGGGGCUAAUACCGGAUAGGAGCUCCUGCUGCAUGGUGGGGGUUGGAAAGUUUCGGCGGUUGGGGAUGGACUCGCGGCUUAUCAGCUUGUUGGUGGGGUAGGGGCUUACCAAGGCUUUGACGGGUAGCCGGCCUGAGAGGGUGACCGGCCACAUUGGGACUGAGGUACGGCCCAGACUCGUACGGGAGGCAGCAGUGGGGAAUAUUGCACAAUGGGCGGAAGCCUGAUGCAGCAACGCCGCGUGCGGGAUGACGGCCUUCGGGUUGUAAACCGCUUUCGCCUGUGACGAAGCGUGAGUGACGGUAAUGGGUAAAGAAGCACCGGCUAACUACGUG
rnacentral:rRNA from 1 species